AGUGAACGCUGGCGGCGUGCCUAAUACAUGCAAGUCGAACGCGAAAGUCCUUCGGGAUGAGUAAAGUGGCGCACGGGUGAGUAAUACAUGGGAACAUGCCCUUGGAUGGGGAAUAACGUUUGGAAACGAACGCUAAUACCGCAUAAUCUCGCGAGAGUAAAGGUGGCGCCGCAAGGGCUACCGUCCAAGGAUUGGCCCAUGUCCCAUUAGCUAGUUGGCGGGGUAAUGGCCCACCAAGGCAACGAUGGGUAACUGGUCUGAGAGGAUGAUCAGUCACACUGGAACUGAGACACGGUCCAGACUCCUACGGGAGGCAGCAGUAGGGAAUAUUGCACAAUGGGGGAAACCCUGAUGCAGCAACGCCGCGUGAGUGAAGAAGGCCCUUGGGUUGUAAAGCUCUUUAGCGUGGGAAGAAGGUAGAUAUGGUGAAUAAUCAUGUUUGCUGACGGUACCACGAGAAUAAGCACCGGCUAAUUUCGUGCCAGCCGCCGCCGUAAGAC
rnacentral:rRNA from 1 species